GACGAACGCUGGCGGCGUGCUUAACACAUGCAAGUCGAACGGAAAGGCCCUGCUUUUGUGGGGUGCUCGAGUGGCGAACGGGUGAGUAACACGUGAGUAACCUGCACUUGACUUUGGGAUAACUUCAGGAAAAUGGGGCUAAUACCGGAUAGGAGCUCCUGCUGCAUGGUGGGGGUUGGAAAGUUUCGGCGGUUGGGGAUGGACUAGGGGCUUAUCAGCUUGAUGGUGAGGUAGCGGCUUACAAAGGCUAUGAAGGGUACCCGACCUGAGAGGGUGAUCGGCCACACGGGAACUGAGGCACGGUCCAGAGGCGUAAGGGAGGCAGAAGUAGGGAAGCUUCCGCAACGGGCGAAAGACUGAAGGAGCACCGCCGCGUGAGUGAUGGAGGUCUUCGGAUCGUAAAACGCGGUUAUGAGGGAAGAAAACAUGUGUAAGUAACUGUGCACAUCUUGACGGUACCUAAUCAGAAAGCCACGGCUAACUACGUG
rnacentral:rRNA from 1 species